rnacentral:rRNA from 1 species
AGCAGCCGCGGUAAUUCCAGCUCCAAUAGCGUAUAUUAAAGUUGUUGCAGUUAAAAGCUCGUAGUUGAAUUUCGGGAUUGACACAUCGGUCGUGCCUUAAGGGGUAUGAACUGGUGUAGUCAAUUUCUCACCUUCUGGAGAACCGCGAUGCCCUUAAUUGGGUGCCGCGGGGAACCAGGACCUUUACUUUGAAAAAUUAGAGUGUUUAAAGCAGGCAUUUUGCUUGAAUACAUUAGCAUGGAAUAAUAAAAUAGGACGGCAUGAUUCUAUUUUGUUGGUUUCUAGGAUCACCGUAAUGAUUAAUAGGGAUAGUUGGGGGCAUUAGUAUUCAAUUGUCAGAGGUGAAAUUCUUGGAUUUAUUGAAGACUAACUACUGCGAAAGCAUUUGCCAAGGAUGUUUUCAUUAAUCAAGAACGAAAGUUAGGGAUCGAAGACGAUCAGAUACCGUCG